rnacentral:rRNA from 1 species
UACGUAGGUGGCGAGCGUUGUCCGGAAUUACUGGGCGUAAAGGGUGCGUAGGCGGAUAUUUAAGUCAGAUGUGAAAUCCCUGGGCUCAACCCGGGAAUGGCAUUUGAAACUGGAUAUCUAGAGUGCAGGAGAGGAAAGCGGAAUUCCUAGUGUAGCGGUGAAAUGCGUAGAUAUUAGGAAGAACACCAGUGGCGAAGGCGGCUUUCUGGACUGUAACUGACGCUGAGGCACGAAAGCGUGGGGAGCAAACAGG